GUUUUACACUCCUGCUUCCUCUCUCUCUCUCUCUCUCUCUCACACACACACACACACACUCAUUCUGUGGCAUUAUUCUGAGUCAGCCGGUGUCGCGCUGUGUUUUGUUGUUUGUUUGUGUGACCAGCUGUGUGAGGCGCUGGUAGCUGUCAGUGGCUGAUCCCCUCUCCAUGGCCUGUCCUCCCUCCGGCUCUGGCUCCUACACUGUUGUUAUCAUCCCACUGAAAACCAGCCUGUACAGUGUGGACGCACUGCGCUUCUACCUAUGGAUUAAGCACCUGAAGGAUCUGGAGAAGGAGAAGGACACUCUGUGGUCUGGUCUGGAGUUUCUGGAGAAGGCUCGUCUGUGGUACCUGCAGAGGCUGGAGGAGAACAGGGCCCGGACUGGGUCUGCUUCCUGCCUGAAAAAUGCAUCAGAGGCCCGGUCCUGCCUCCUCAGGUCUCGUAUCCAGCAGGUGAACGGCUCACUGGGAUCCAUCAUGAGCGAGCCCAACGUCACCACCAGCAGCAACCCCACUCUGCCUGAAG
rnacentral:lncRNA from 1 species